rnacentral:rRNA from 1 species
GACGAACGCUGGCGGCGUGCUUAAUACAUGCAAGUCGAGCGGAGAGGCCCUGCUUUUGGGGUACUCGAAUGGCCAACGGGUGGGUAACUCAUGCGUGAUCUGCCCUCCUUUUCGGGGUAAGCCUGGGAAACUGGGUCUAGUUACGGACAGGUGCCAUUUUUAAACUGAUGGUUGGAGAGUUAGUUCGGUGUAGGAUGAGCUCGCGGCCUAUCAGCUUGUUGGUGGGGUAAUUGCCUACGAAAGCGGCGACGGGUAGCCGGCCUGAGAGGGUGGACGGCCACAAUGGGACUGAGAGACGGCCCAGACUCCUACGGGAGGCAGCAGUGGGGAAUAUUGCACAAUGGGCGCAAGCCUGAGGCAGCGGCGCCGCGUGGGGGAUGACCGCCUUCGGGUUGUAAACUCCUUUCGCUAGGGACGGAGCAUUUUGUGACGGUAACUAGAUAAGAAGCACCGGCUAACUACGUG